UUUUAGCUUGAUUAUGACAUGUAUAAAACGCUUUUACCAAAGGGAAAAUAUAAUGAGUAGGAACAGGACUCACCUGCUUGCUGAUAGUGUUUUUCUGCCAACAGUUGGUGGAGAUGGUUCAUAGUGGAAAAAGCUUUUUAUCCACCAACAUUUAUCAAGUA